UGCCGCCUCCCUCAGGCUCGGGCGCGACAUGGCGGCGGCGCGGGCGCUGCAGCUGUCGCUGCUGCUGCUGCGGCUGCUGCUGCUGCUCCCGCUGCUGCCGGGCCCGGCGGGGGCCGUGUGGCCGCAGCCCCAGGCCCAGAGCUUCCCGCCCGGUGGCGGCCGCUGCCCGGUGCCGGCCCGCCGGUUCCGCUUCGCCGUGGCGGACGGCUCGGCCGUGGGGCCGGGCUGCGCCGUGCUGGACGCCGCCUUCCAGCGGUACUGGCCGCUGCUCUUCGGCCGUCCCACCGAGAAUGAACCGUCCUGGGAAACACCCUGCAGUGAGCUUCUCGUCUAUGUUUCCACUCCAGGCUGCGAUGGGUUUCCCAACCUGGACUCCAAUGAGAGCUAUAAGCUGUCUGUCUCCAAAGGCUCCAUGCUGCUCUCAGCUGAGACCGUGUGGGGAGCUCUCCGAGGCCUGGAAACAUUCAGCCAGCUUGUUGGGAGAGAUGAGAAUGGCACGUACUACAUCAAUGAGACAGAAAUUGUGGACUUUCCCCGCUUCCCUCACCGGGGACUGUUGCUGGACACCUCUCGUCACUACCUACCUCUGAGAGCUAUCCUGGAAACUCUGGACGUCAUGGCUUACAACAAGUUCAAUGUGUUUCACUGGCACAUUGUGGAUGACCCAUCUUUCCCCUAUGAGAGUUCCACGUUCCCAGAGCUCAGCAAGCAGGGAGCCUUCAAUGCCAUGACCCACGUGUACACAGCCAGCGACGUGCGCACCGUGAUCGAGUACGCCCGCCUGCGCGGCAUCCGCGUCAUCGCCGAGUUCGACACCCCCGGCCACACCCUCUCCUGGGGGCCAGGUGCUCCAGGCCUCCUGACUCCUUGCUAUAUGGGCAAGGCUCCUUCUGGAGCCUAUGGGCCCAUCAACCCCAUUGUUAACAGCACCUACCAGUUUGUGACCAGUUUGUUCCAAGAGGUCAGCACUGUGUUCCCAGACUUCUUUCUGCACCUUGGUGGUGAUGAGGUAGAUUUCACCUGCUGGAAAUCCAAUCCAGAAAUCCGUGCUUUCAUGAUCGAGACGGGCCUUGGUGAAGAUUACAGAAAAUUAGAGUCUUUCUACAUCCAGAGGCUUCUGGACAUCGUCUCUUCCCUUGGCAAAGGUUAUAUUGUGUGGCAGGAGGUGUUUGACAACGAUGUGAAGCUGAGGCCUGGCACCAUCAUCCACGUGUGGAAGGAGAACAACCUGCAGUACCUGAACGAGAUGGCAAAUGUCACCAGGGCUGGCUACCGGGCUCUGCUCUCUGCCCCCUGGUACCUGAACCGCAUCUCCUACGGGCAGGACUGGAUAGAAGCCUAUAAGGUGGAGCCCUUGAACUUUGAAGGCAGCCCUGAGCAGCAGGCCCUGGUGAUUGGUGGCGAGGCCUGCAUGUGGGGUGAAUAUGUGGAUGUCACCAACCUGACCCCCAGGCUCUGGCCGAGAGGUGGGGCUGUAGCCGAAAGACUCUGGAGCAAUGAGACUGUCAGGAACGUGGAAGACGCGUAUGUCCGGCUGGCCGAGUUCCGCUGCACCCUGCUUGGGCGUGGUGUCCAGGCACAGCCUCUCUACGUUGGAUACUGUGACCAGGAAUUUGGCGGAGUUUGAAGGGAGAGCCCCACUGCCCUCUGUCUCUGUGCAUGCAGGAGGAAUGUUCCCCCCUCAGAAGGGCAGAGGGACCCCUUGCCACCCCACCUUCUGCUCUGGCUUCAUUGCAAUGAACAUUUCUUUUGCCUCGUCCUGCAAGCUACCACCUCUGCUGCCCUAAACCCUGGUUGCUGCCACCUCUUCUGACUUUUCCUCAGCAGAUGACACCCUGGGGCCUCUCUGAGGAGCCCGUGCAAAUCUGCUGAGUGGUGCAUGGAUACUAAAAACUCUCUGCUCAGCUCUUCAGGCUGUCACCUCUGCCUGGGAUUUGUCCAACUGACCCGUCCUCCUCCUGCUCUGUUAUUCUCAGGGUGAGGAGCUCAGCUCCAGGUCUCCUCCAUCCAGAGGGGUUGGUUUUGAUGGUGUUUUCCUUGGAGAAGAAACCAGUGGUGCUGCUGUCCCACAGAACUGGGACAGGUGUGAUUGUUGUCCUUCAGUGGUUGGGAUUGCUGUGCUGGAAAUGGCAUUCAGCUGAAAGCAGGGAAUCUGUCAGGGAGAAAUCCUGGCAGGCUGGGACUGUUGUAUGUGUGUCUUGGUAUUAAGUGAGUGAGAUCCACUGUUGUGGCUGGAAACCUUUCAUGACUGAACUUUAAAUUAAAAAUAGUGAAUUAACAGUUA